GGCCUAACACAUGCAAGUCGAACGGUAACAGGAAGCAGCUUGCUGCUUUGCUGACGAGUGGCGGACGGGUGAGUAAUGUCUGGGAAACUGCCUGAUGGAGGGGGAUAACUACUGGAAACGGUAGCUAAUACCGCAUAACGUCGCAAGACCAAAGAGGGGGACCUUCGGCCCUCUUGCCAUCGGAUGUGCCCAGAUGGGAUUAGCUAGUAGGUGGGGUAACGGCUCACCUAGGCGACGAUCCCUAGCUGGUCUGAGAGGAUGACCAGCCACACUGGAACUGAGACACGGUCCAGACUCCUACGGGAGGCAGCAGUGGGGAAUAUUGCACAAUGGGCGCAAGCCUGAUGCAGCCAUGCCGCGUGUAUGAAGAAGGCCUUCGGGUUGUAAAGUACUUUCAGCGGGGAGGAAGGCGAUAAGGUUAAUAACCUUGUCGAUUGACGUUACCCGCAGAAGAAGCACCGGCUAACUCCGUGCCAGCCGCCGCGGUA
rnacentral:rRNA from 1 species